rnacentral:rRNA from 1 species
AUUGAACGCUGGCGGCAGGCCUAACACAUGCAAGUCGAGCGGAUGAAUGGAGCUUUCUCCUGGAUUCAGCUGCGGACGGGUGAGUAAUGCCUAGGAAUCUGCCUGGUAGUGGGGGAUAACGUCCGGAAACGGGCGCUAAUACCGCAUACGUCCUGAGGGAGAAAGUGGGGGAUCUUCGGACCUCACGCUAUCAGAUGAGCCUAGGUCGGAUUAGCUAGUUGGUGGGGUAAAGGCCUACCAAGGCGACGAUCCGUAACUGGUCUGAGAGGAUGAUCAGUCACACUGGAACUGAGACACGGUCCAGACUCCUACGGGAGGCAGCAGUGGGGAAUCUUGGACAAUGGGCGAAAGCCUGAUCCAGCAAUGCCGCGUGUGUGAAGAAGGUCUUCGGAUUGUAAAGCACUUUAAGUUGGGAGGAAGGGCAGUAAGUUAAUACAUGGAUGUUUUGACGUUACCAACAGAAUAAGCCACGGCUAACUUCGUG